GCCUUUAUCGUUUAACUCAUUCGGUAUAUUGAUGUUUGUCUUUAUUGAUAUGGGGACGUACAGUAAUGACAUGAACUGGUGAGUAAUCUCUUGAUUUUGCAAUACCACCUAGGGAUAGGGGUAGGACGAUCAAUUGCGCUAACUUCUGUUUAUAAUGCGGUAUUAAUUACUAGGGGAGGCUAGGGAUAGCAAGCCAGUAGUUAAUAUUAGGCCCUUUUCGCCGAGGGAUCGGGUUAAGGGGAGGCUAAGAAAGUCGCAUAAC
rnacentral:lncRNA from 1 species